UGCCCUGUGGGGGAACUGGCAGACCCGCCCGGUUCUGGCCCGGGAGCCUCCAGGUUCGAGUCCUGGCAGGGCAG
rnacentral:tRNA from 1 species